rnacentral:misc_RNA from 1 species
GAAAACAAUCAUUGAUGAUCCUGAGAAGUUCAUCGAGGAUGGUGGAUGGGAGUUUCUGAAUUUGGAGGUAAGUGAUUCAGACUCUGAUAACAGUCAGGAUACGGAUCAAGGAUACGAGCCAUCUGAUAUGGAGGUUGUCUCUGAGCCUUCAUCCGACGACGAUAGUAGUGAAUCUCUGGUUGAGUCAGAAGAUGAGGAAUCGGAGGAGGAUUCUGA